rnacentral:rRNA from 1 species
GCUACGGGAGGCAGCAGUGAGGAAUAUUGGUCAAUGGACGAGAGUCUGAACCAGCCAAGUAGCGUGAAGGAUGACUGCCCUAUGGGUUGUAAACUUCUUUUAUAAAGGAAUAAAACGAGGCACGUGUGCCUUUUUGCAUGUACUUUAUGAAUAAGGAUCGGCUAACUCCGUGCCAGCAGCCGCGGUAAUACGGAGGAUCCGAGCGUUAUCCGGAUUUAUUGGGUUUAAAGGGAGCGUAGAUGGGUUGUUAAGUCAGUUGUGAAAGUUUGCGGCUCAACCGUAAAAUUGCAAUUGAUACUGGCAGUCUUGAGUACAGUUGAGGUAGGCGGAAUUCGUGGUGUAGCGGUGAAAUGCUUAGAUAGCACGAAGAACUCCGAUUGCGAAGGCAGCUUACUAAACUGCCACUGACAUUGAUGCUCGAAAGUGUGGGUAUCAAACAGGAUUAGAUACCCUUGUAGUC